GCCGCUAUAGCUCAGUGGUUAGAGCGUUGGUUUCGUGUUCAAAGGUCGUAAGUUCGAAUCUUGUUGGCGGCA